UACGUACCGUCCAAACGUUAUUCGGAAUUACUGGGCUUAAAGGGUUUGUAGGCGGCUUUGUAAGUCAGGUGUGAAAUCCCUCGGCUCAACCGAGGAAUGGCGCUUGAUACUGCAAGGCUUGAGGGAGACAGGGGUAAGCGGAACUGAUGGUGGAGCGGUGAAAUGCGUUGAUAUCAUCAGGAACACCGGUGGCGAAAGCGGCUUACUGGGUCUCUUCUGACGCUGAGGAACGAAAGCUAGGGUAGCGAACGGG
rnacentral:rRNA from 1 species